CGUUAAACACCACAAAAUGAAAAAUAAAUCAGAAGAACCCACAGUUUUUGAAGUCUAUAAACAUCUACACACUACCAGGGAUCACAUAUGGUUUACAGAAGAAGACUGGAUAAAAUUUUGAUAAGAUGAUUCAGCUUCGAAAAAAAAAACA